rnacentral:rRNA from 1 species
UAGGGAAUCUUCGGCAAUGGGGGCAACCCUGACCGAGCAACGCCGCGUGAGUGAAGAAGGUUUUCGGAUCGUAAAGCUCUGUUGUAAGUCAAGAACGGGUGUGAGAGUGGAAAGUUCACACUGUGACGGUAGCUUACCAGAAAGGGACGGCUAACUACGUGCCAGCAGCCGCGGUAAUACGUAGGUCCCGAGCGUUGUCCGGAUUUAUUGGGCGUAAAGCGANCGCAGGCGGUUUGAUAAGUCU